CAAAAGCCAAAACUCAGAUCAGAUUAUGGCUUAUGACUUACGACCCCACCAGAUAAAAAGCCAGCUCACACCAAACUUAUACCAUAAAAACAAAUUAGUUUUGUUUUCUUUAUAAAGAAAUCACACACCUACUAUUGGUUUAUUAUAGGUACAUUGUAUACGGUUUAGUGGUACAGUUAGAUUGAUUCAAUAACCGGUUUGUUCCGGAUAAGCCGUCAACAUGUAUAUAUCGUGUGUUGCUCACACUUUACUCAAUAACAGAAAAGUAUUCCUUUUACUCUCUCUCUCCUUUUGUCAUCUUGUGUUCUAAACCUCCAUGAAUGACGUAAGGAGAUCUUUCUCUUCUGUUCAUCUCUAAACACUAAUACCUACCAUUCAAGAGAUGACUUUAGAGGCACGAUAAGGUGGAAAGAAAAGAAUCACCUCGAGUUAGCAUUAACAAAUAACAACUUUGAAAACUUCUAACCGUGUAAAUUCAGAAUCUUCUUGGUCAACAACAUAUGCC